UCACUGACAAAGUGGGACGGGCAGAUCGCCUUGACUUGACACGGAUGCUUACGACAGACCAGGGCGGGUAAAUCAAUAAACCGAUGAUAAAAGAGAUGUUAAUAAACAGCGGAGCUAGUAAAACACUUCAUCACUUUGAUUUUACACGGACGAUUCAAGCACCUGUUCGUAAAUGCGAGCCAGUACCUCUCUUCCAUCGAUCUCAUUGUAAAAAGCCAUUGUCUCCGAGUCGGCACUGACGAUAGCGUGUGUUAGCGAAGAUGUCGUUAUGGUACAUGGUUGGAUCGUUAACUGUGUUGUGUGUGAUAUCUGCUGAACUGCUGGAAAAGGAACCGACCGAGUGUUCUUAUGACCACCAUUUGUCAAAGGUGUGCUACUUUUGUGCUGACCUUCACUCGGAAUUUCGGAUAUAUGCUGCGUGUUGUCAGUUUCUAGGGCUCAUGUCUGAAAAAGACAAACAACUGCGAGAAUACUGUUUCGGAAUGUACGUGCAACCCGUGGGAUAAACUAACUGGAAGAGCGUGUAGGAUGCAGAUGUUGAGUGACUGAAAACAAAACAAAGAGGAAAGAGAGAGAGUUAAUACACCAAUUGACUUCAGAAUAAAGAACGAGUGUCCUACAUAAUGAA